rnacentral:rRNA from 1 species
UGGGGAAUAUUGCACAAUGGGGGAAACCCUGAUGCAGCGACGCCGCGUGAACGAAGAAGGUAUUCGUAUCGUAAAGUUCUGUCCUAUGGGAAGAUAAUGACAGUACCAUAGAAGAAAGCUCCGGCUAAAUACGUGCCAGCAGCCGCGGUAAUACGUAUGGAGCGAGCGUUGUCCGGAAUUAUUGGGCGUAAAGGGUACGCAGGCGGUUUAAUAAGUCGAAUGUUAAAGAUCGGGGCUCAACCCCGUAAAGCAUUGGAAACUGAUAAACUUGAGUAGUGGAGAGGAAAGUGGAAUUCCUAGUGUAGUGGUGAAAUACGUAGAUAUUAAGGGGAAUACCAGUAGCGAAGGCGACUUUCUGGACACAAACUGACGCUGAGGUACGAAAGCGUGGGGAGCAAACAGG